rnacentral:lncRNA from 10 species
CUAUUCUGGAGAGGGUGAAGACGCCAGGAGGAUUCCAGCUCCAGGAGCCAGCCCCGCUGUGGCCCCCGUCGUGGGGAGGAGAGGCCGGGAGCGGCGCGGUGGGCAGAGUGGGGCCAUCUGGGUCCCCUGUGGCUUCUGGGCUGACCCUGGCACACGGGGUGCCUGCAGAUGGCUAUAUGGAAAGCACAGGUGUUUCUGCUUCUGGAGAGGCCCCAGGAAGCUUCCAACCGUGGUGGAAGGCGAAGCGGGAGCAGGUGUCUCACAUGGCGUGAGCGGGAACGAGAAAGACAGAGCAGGGAAACGUGCAGAGGAAAUGGUUGGAGAGCGAAGUCCAGGCACAGGGGCCAUGAGAGCCGGACCCCACGCAGCUGCAGACCUCGACCCGAACUGCAUGCGGCUGAGGACCCCCAAGCCAGGCAGACCCCGACCCAGACCCCACGCGGCCGCGGACCCCCGACCUCGACCCAAACUGCAUGCGGCUGAGGACCCCCAAGCCAGGCAGACGCCAAUCCAGACCCCACGCGGCCGCGGACCCCAACCCAGACAGACCCCGACCCACCCGUGCAGCCCCCAGC